AAUCAUGGGUAUUUUUGCUAAAGCUGUAGUAAGAGUUAAAACCCAAAAAGAAAAUGCUGAUUAAUUAUAUUCCCAAAAAUAAAAACACUGAGAACCAUGGAAAAAGUAGUCCUUACUUGUGUUUGCUCUAUGCAGUAGGAGCAUCACCAUCACCCAGGAGCUCAUGAAAAAUGCAUAACCUCAGGCACCAUUCCAGACCUUCUGAAUCAGAAUCUGCAUUUUAACAAGAUCCCCAGGUGCUGGGACUCUGGUGCCCCCAACCCUGGGCAUCCUCAGGCUUUGAGGAGAAUACACAGGAUUUGAAGUCAGAAGACCUAGGUUUGAGUUCUGGCUGAGCCACACACUGUUCAUGUGACCUUGGACAAAUCACCAAAUUUUUCUGAACAGCAUCUGUAAAGUGACAGUAACCCCUACCUCACAGGGUUGUUGUGAGGAUUACAUAUAUGCUAAAGCAUUUUGCAUAUGAAAAGC
rnacentral:sRNA from 1 species